rnacentral:rRNA from 1 species
UGGGGAAUAUUGGACAAUGGGCGAAAGCCUGAUCCAGCCAUGCCGCGUGUGUGAAGAAGGUCUUCGGAUUGUAAAGCACUUUAAGUUGGGAGGAAGGGCAUUAACCUAAUACGUUAGUGUUUUGACGUUACCGACAGAAUAAGCACCGGCUAACUCUGUGCCAGCAGCCGCGGUAAUACAGAGGGUGCAAGCGUUAAUCGGAAUUACUGGGCGUAAAGCGCGCGUAGGUGGUUUGUUAAGUUGGAUGUGAAAUCCCCGGGCUCAACCUGGGAACUGCAUUCAAAACUGACUGACUAGAGUAUGGUAGAGGGUGGUGGAAUUUCCUGUGUAGCGGUGAAAUGCGUAGAUAUAGGAAGGAACACCAGUGGCGAAGGCGACCACCUGGACUAAUACUGACACUGAGGUGCGAAAGCGUGGGGAGC